rnacentral:rRNA from 1 species
UCAUUUGAUGCAAACUAUAAAACGUUUAAGAAUCAGAAUGGUGAAGUGUUUGCCAGGUAUAUUGGUACUAACUGCAGGAAUGGGCCACCUAUGAAGAAGAUCUGGGUUCCCAAAAGUUGUCUUGAGAAUCUUCCUGUGAAUGUCAUCAUGACACCACCUGGGAAGAAGACAAAUCCCAGACCAAAGGCUUCAUAUGGCCCAAAGGCAUUAUACAGACAGAGGACUCACCUAAGGCACCCUAAUGCCAAUGUUUUGCAGGGAAACCAUACUCAGACUUAUGAAUAUGAGCGUGUUUCUUCAGACCGCUAUGUU